GUAGGUGAACCUGCGGAAGGAUCAUUAGUGAAUUCAUCUUUGUCGUGUGGCAGCAAUGUCGCAUGGCGUUCCGGGCGUCCCUCGCGUCGCCCGGGGGUAAUACACAUCCAUAACACCUGUGAACUGUCUGCAAUGUCCUCGCGACUUGCACUUUACAAACUCAAAACGUAACAAAUGUAUUAUUACAAAAACAAAAUAAAACUUUUAACAACGGAUCUCUUGGCUCUCGCAUCGAUGAAGAACGCAGCAU
rnacentral:misc_RNA from 1 species